rnacentral:rRNA from 1 species
AACGAACGCUGGCGGCAUGCCUAACACAUGCAAGUCGAACGAGACCUUCGGGUCUAGUGGCGCACGGGUGCGUAACGCGUGGGAAUCUGCCCUCUGGUACGGAAUAACUCAGGGAAACUUGAGCUAAUACCGUAUAAUGACUUCGGUCCAAAGAUUUAUCGCCUGAGGAUGAGCCCGCGUAGGAUUAGCUCGUUGGUGAGGUAAAAGCUCACCAAGGCGACGAUCCUUAGCUGGUCUAAGAGGAUGAUCAGCCACACUGGGACUGAGACACGGCCCAGACUCCUACGGGAGGCAGCAGUGGGGAAUAUUGGACAAUGGGCGAAAGCCUGAUCCAGCAAUGCCGCGUGAGUGAUGAAGGCCUUAGGGUUGUAAAGCUCUUUUACCCGGGAUGAUAAUGACAGUACCGGGAGAAUAAGCCCCGGCUAACUCCGUGCCAGCAGCCGCCGUAAGAC